rnacentral:sRNA from 1 species
CACCUGGGUCAGCCCUGAGCCCUGGAGCAGGACGGAUCGGCCGCUGCCUGCUUAAAGCUGGGGCCGCCCAGGAGUGCGAUCGCCUGCGGAUCUGCAGCUGGGCACCGGCCGCAACGCCCGCCCCGCGACGGCAGGGACUGAAGGGACUCGUGAAUGUCCGCGGGACGUGUCGCGGCGGCGCCCAGCACGGAGGAGGCAGGCAGGGAGGGAAUAAAGGCUCAGGGACCGGCAGUUCUACUCUGGAGCCCACCAGCCUCUCAGAGCCUCCGGUGACUGGCCUGUGUCUCCCCCUGGAUGGACAUGUGGACGGCGCUGCUCAUCCUGCAAGCCUUGUUGCUACCCUCCCUGGCUGAUGGUGCCACCCCUGCCCUGCGCUUCGUAGCCGUGGGUGACUGGGGAGGGGUCCCCAAUGCCCCAUUCCACACGGCCCGGGAAAUGGCCAAUGCCAAGGAGAUCGCUCGGACUGUGCAGAUCCUGGGUGCAGACUUCAUCCUGUCUCUAGGGGACAAUUUUUACUUCACUGGUGUGCAAGAUGUCAAUGACAAGAGGUUCCAGGUCUGUGCCCAACAGAGUGGGGCAGGAGGUGGGGGCAGGCAGUGGGGAGAAGCCGCCUUACCUAGUGACCUUCCUUUGGAGAGGGCAGAGGGAAGGUGAUGGGGCACCUUUGGGCGCCGGGAGCAUUCAGUGUCUCCCUUAUCCUGACUUGGUGGGAGGAUCAGCGUAGCCACUGACCCCAGGGAAGAGGCCUGCCCUAUCUGUUUGCUACAGGAGACCUUUGAGGACGUAUUCUCUGACCGCUCCCUUCGCAAAGUGCCCUGGUACGUGCUAGCCGGAAACCAUGACCACCUUGGCAACGUCUCUGCCCAGAUUGCAUACUCUAAGAUCUCCAAGCGCUGGUGAGCCACCCUCAGCCCUGCCUCCCGAGAUCCUCACAUAGCAGAGACACAGGGGCCCUGUGGCUUGAGCUGACCCUGGGACUUCUGUGCCCAAGAUGUGCACCCAUGACCUCUAU